rnacentral:rRNA from 1 species
AGGGUUUGAUCAUGGCUCAGAACGUACGCUGGCGGCACGCCUAACACAUGCAAGUCGAACGAAGUAGCAAUACUUAGUGGCAGACGGGUGAGUAACAUGUGGGUAUCUGCCCUUUGGCCUGGAAUAACACGAGGAAACUUGUGCUAAUACCGGAUAAGUCUUUACGGAGAAAGCUUUAUGCACCAUUGGAUGAGCCCGCACUUGAUUAGUUUGUUGGUGGGGUAAUGGCCUACCAAGACUGUGAUCAAUAGCUGAUUUGAGAGGAUGAUCAGCCACAUUGGGACUGAGACACGGCCCAAACUCCUACGGGAGGCAGCAGUGGGGAAUCUUGCACAAUGGAGGAAACUCUGAUGCAGCGAUGCCGCGUGAGUGAAGAAGGCCCUUGGGUUGUAAAGCUCUUUCGUCGGGGAAGAAAAUGACUGUACCCGAAUAAGAAGGUCCGGCUAACUUCGUGCCAGCAGCCGCGGUAAUACGAAGGGACCUAGCGUAGUUCGGAAUUACUGGGCUUAAAGAGUUCGUAGGUGGUUGAAAAAGUUAGUGGUGAAAUCCCAGAGCUUAACUCUGGAACUGCCAUUAAAACUUUUCAGCUAGAGUAUGAUAGAGGAAAGCAGAAUUUCUAGUGUAGAGGUGAAAUUCGUAGAUAUUAGAAAGAAUACCAAUUGCGAAGGCAGCUUUCUGGAUCAUUACUGACACUGAGGAACGAAAGCAUGGGUAGCGAAGAGGAUUAGAUACCCUCGUAGUCCAUGCCGUAAACGAUGUGUGUUAGACGUUGGAAAUUUAUUUUCAGUGUCGCAGCGAAAGCGAUAAACACACCGCCUGGGGAGUACGACCGCAAGGUUAAAACUCAAAUGAAUUGACGGGGACCCGCACAAGUAGUGGAGCAUGUGGUUUAAUUCGAAGAUACGCGCAGAACCUUACCAACACUUGACAUGUUCGUCGCGACUCUAAGAGAUUAGAGUUUUCGGUUCGGCCGGACGAAACACAGGUGCUGCAUGGCUGUCGUCAGCUCGUGUCGUGAGAUGUUGGGUUAAGUCCCGCAACGAGCGCAACCCUCACUUUUAGUUGCCAUCAUUUAGUUGGGCACUCUGAAAGAACUGCCAGUGAUAAGCUGGAGGAAGGUGGGGAUGACGUCAAGUCCUCAUGGCCCUUACGUGUUGGGCUACACACGUGCUACAAUGGUAUCUACAACAGGAAGCAAGACUGCGAGGUCAAGCAAAUCCUUAAAAGAUACCUCAGUUCGGAUUGCACUCUGCAACUCGAGUGCAUGAAGCUGGAAUUACUAGUAAUCGUGGAUCAGCGUGCCACGGUGAAUGCGUUCCCGGGUCUUGUACACACCGCCCGUCACACCAUGGGAGUUGGUUCUACCUUAAGGCAAGGUUUCAAACCCUUGACCACGGUAUAGUCAGCGACUGGGGUGAAGUCGUAACAAGGUAGCCG